GGGGGUAUAGCUCAGCUGGGAGAGCACCUGCUUUGCAAGCAGGGGGUCAGCGGUUCGAGUCCGCUUACCUCCA
rnacentral:tRNA from 2 species